rnacentral:rRNA from 1 species
UACGGGGGGGGCAAGCGUUGUUCGGAAUUACUGGGCGUAAAGGGCGCGUAGGCGGCCCUCUAAGUCAGACGUGAAAUCCCACGGCUUAACCGUGGAACUGCGUCUGAUACUGGAGGGCUUGAAUCCGGGAGAGGGAUGUGGAAUUCCCGGUGUAGCGGUGAAAUGCGUAGAUAUCGGGAAGAACACCAGUGGCGAAAGCGCUCUACUGGGCCAUAACUGACACUGAGGGACGAAAGCUAGGGGAGCGAAAGGG